rnacentral:tRNA from 1 species
GGGAAUGUAGCUCAAUGGUAGAGCUCUUGCCUAGCAUGUAUGGGUCCUGGGUUCCAUCCCCAGCACUGCAA